UACGUAGGGUGCAAGCGUUAAUCGGAAUUCCUGGGCGUAAAGCGUGCGCAGGCGGUUGUGUAAGACAGAUGUGAAAUCCCCGGGCUCAACCUGGGAACUGCAUUUGUGACUGCACAGCUGGAGUGCGGCAGAGGGGGAUGGAAUUCCGCGUGUAGCAGUGAAAUGCGUAGAUAUGCGGAGGAACACCGAUGGCGAAGGCAAUCCCCUGGGCCUGCACUGACGCUCAUGCACGAAAGCGUGGGGAGCAAACAGG
rnacentral:rRNA from 1 species